AAAGACCGCAGGACAAUGGGUCCAGCAGUUGUUAGCAGCAGUUAUUGAGAUAUAACGGUUACUGAGAUAUAAUGCCUCUCCAAAGCGUUACAGGCUGGGUCGGGCCGCUCAUACUGAGAAUUUUCCGUAAUAUUGAAAAGAAUUCGCUUCGCUCGCUCGUACUAACAUAGGGGGAGCGUUCUGGUCUAGGGUUAGUUCCUCGCCUCUAAAUUCAGCCAUCUGGGUUUGAUUCCCAGGCAAUGCAUUGCCACUGUCUGACCGCUUGGAAGUUGGAACAGCGUGGGAGUUCCGGAAUCCGCUGGACAUUGAGCAGAUGAGCCGUUUUGUUUCGCCGGUGAACCCCUCCAUCUUCCCGCAUCUCACAACCCUGCUUCUGGGAAUAGGCAUCUUCUACACUGCCUGGUUCUUUGUGUAUGAGGUGAG